CGGUGACGAGCGGCGGACGGGUGAGUAAUACUUAGGAAUCUACCUAGUAGUGGGGGAUAGCUCGGGGAAACUCGAAUUAAUACCGCAUACGACCUACGGGAGAAAGGGGGCAACUUGUUGCUCUCGCUAUUAGAUGAGCCUAAGUCGGAUUAGCUAGAUGGUGGGGUAAAGGCCUACCAUGGCGACGAUCUGUAGCUGGUCUGAGAGGAUGAUCAGCCACACCGGGACUGAGACACGGCCCGGACUCCUACGGGAGGCAGCAGUGGGGAAUAUUGGACAAUGGGGGCAACCCUGAUCCAGCCAUGCCGCGUGUGUGAAGAAGGCCUUUUGGUUGUAAAGCACUUUAAGCAGUGAAGAAGACUCUAUGGUUAAUACCCUUAGACGAUGACAUUAGCUGCAGAAUAAGCACCGGCUAACUCUGUGCCAGCAGCCGCGGUAAUACAGAGGGUGCAAGCGUUAAUCGGAAUUACUGGGCGUAAAGCGAGCGUAGGUGGCUUGAUAAGUCAGAUGUGAAAGCCCCGGGCUCAACCUGGGAACGGCAUCUGAUACUGUUAGGCUAGAGUAGGUGAGAGGAAGGUAGAAUUCCAGGUGUAGCGGUGAAAUGCGUAGAGAUCUGGAGGAAUACCGAUGGCGAAGGCAGCCUUCUGGCAUCAUACUGACACUGAGGUUCGAAAGCGUGGGUAGCAAACAGGAUUAGAUACCCUGGUAGUCCACGCCGUAAACGAUGUCUACUAGUCGUUGGGUCCCUUGAGGACUUAGUGACGCAGCUAACGCAAUAAGUAGACCGCCUGGGGAGUACGGCCGCAAGGUUAAAACUCAAAUGAAUUGACGGGGGCCCGCACAAGCGGUGGAGCAUGUGGUUUAAUUCGAUGCAACGCGAAGAACCUUACCUGGUCUUGACAUAUC
rnacentral:rRNA from 1 species